UGAAAUUCACUAUUCAUAAGCCUUGACAAAUCUCAGCCCUUCAUUUGUUCUUCCAGCUUAGCCACACGAUCUUUUUCUUUCUCUCCUCUUCUUCACGUCUCUUCUCUGUCCUCUCUGUCCUCUCUCCUUUCUCCAUUGCUAUUCCAUCAUCUAUUCUUAUUUUUCUUCUAAAAUUUUCUUAUAGUUCACCCCAUUAGAAUUACAAUCUGAGAAAAUGAAAGAUGACAAUUUUGAAGUGCGCGAAAAAUGCAGUGGAAAUAAGUGGAAAGUGGGUUAGGGUUUGAAAGGGAAAAGAUGAGUGAAAAAGAGAGAUUUUUUGAGAAAUUGGGUGUUAGAGAGGAGAUGAUGAUGAUAACAAAAACUGGGAGGAAGAAGAGAGAAAGAUGGGUUUUAUGUUAUUUGAAGUAUUUAAGAGAAUUUUUGCUAAUUACCAUCUGUUCAUCUAGCCCAUUGAUAUUCGCAAGCUACAAGUUCACAUUGAAGUCAUAGGUCAUUGAAAAGCUUGUUGAUAUUGUUGCCUUCAUACCUCAAUAGAUCACAGAAGUAUUUGGAGAAGGUUCAUGGAGCGAUACAUAACAUUGGUGGCAAUAAGCCUGCUGUUUCUGAAGGCAUGGAGGGCUUCUAUUAUCAAUGUCCGUUUUAAGGCAGCUUCAAGUGAGUCAUAUCAACAUUUUCUUCGCUAUCUUGAUGUAAGGAAUGGGUUCAAGCCAAGCAUAUUUGAGUGACAAAGGAUUUGGAAGAAACAGUCAUAUGGUCUCUAGAGUGAUUUUCUACUGGGAUGAUGUUGAGAUCGUCACUGUAAAGGAUCCUCUCAUCACUAGUGAAGUAUUCAUUUGAAGGAAAGCGAAGAAAGGAGUGGAACAAGACAAUAAUGUUGAGUGUUUUUAUGUUAAUGCAAAGUUGGACACAUCUCUCUUUUUUCCUAUGUAGAUUUAUGUGAAAAUAUUAUAUGUGGCUCUACUCUUUUAGUAUUGUUUUUGGUAUUUUAAGCUUCAAAUGGGCUAAUCUUCCUUGAAUCUACAAGUUGACUGUAUUUUUACAAUGAA